GAUGAACGCUGGCGGCGCGCCUAACACAUGCAAGUCGAACGAUUAAACCGCCCUUGGGCGGAUAUACAGUGGCGAACGGGUGAGUAACGCGUGACCAACCUUCCCCCCGCAUCGGGACAACCCGGGGAAACCCGGGCUAAUACCGGAUAUGCCGGGUAUGGCGCAUGUCAUACCCAGGAAAGCUUUUGCGGCGGGGGAUGGGGUCGCGUCCCAUCAGGUAGACGGCGGGGUAGUAGCCCACCGUGCCAACGACGGGUAGCCGGGUUGAGAGACCGACCGGCCACAUUGGGACUGAGAUACGGCCCAGACUCCUACGGGAGGCAGCAGUGGGGAAUCUUGCGCAAUGGGGGAAACCCUGACGCAGCGACGCCGCGUGCGGGAUGGAGGCCUUCGGGCCGUGAACCGCUUUCAGCAGGGAAGACAUUAAGGACGGUACCUGCAGAAGAAGCCCCGGCUAACUACGUGCCAGCAGCCGCGGUAAUACGUAGGGGGCGAGCGUUAUCCGGAUUCAUUGGGCGUAAAGCGCGCGCAGGCGGCGCACCAGGCGGGAUCUCGAAACCGGGGGCUCAACCUCCGGGCGGAUCCCGAACCGGUGUGCUCGAGUGCGGUAGAGGAAGUCGGAAUUCCCGGUGUAGCGGUGAAAUGCGCAGAUAUCGGGAAGAACACCGAUGGCGAAGGCAGACUUUCUGGGCCGACACUGACGCUCAGGCGCGAAAGCUGGGGGAGCGAACAGG
rnacentral:rRNA from 1 species